ACCGAGCAAAGCACCGCAAUCGCAAUCCAAUAGAGGCGACGGCUGCUAAUGGAUAUUCCAGUCCAAUCACGGUCGCAAAUAUCAAUAGCUCCGUGGCAGUAAAAUUUAACACACCCGGGGCAAAGGCCCGAUCACCGGGGUCGGUCGGACGGGCGAUCGUUCUCGGGCUCAAGGCACCAACGGCAACGACCAUCCGGCAAAGUGUGCAAGAAAAUAAACAGUUCUAUCUACGUUCGGCCAACCGACCGAAGAAGCUAGAGAAGUGGAGCGUCCUGAGCGCAUAGUGUCGGUGCCCGUGACGACGGGCACAUACACGAUAACGCCUGCGGCCGGUUUUGCAAGUAUACAAAUUAAUCAAUCAUUCAAAUCGCUUCGCAAACGCUUUUCUUACUAAAGGAAAUGGGUCGCUUUGGAGCUGUCGGGAGCAUUGCUCAAGAUAGGAUUUGCACGGCACCGGCGUUGUGACAAAUUAAUCAGUCUUAUCAAAUCCAUCUGCUUUCUUGUUGGGAUCAUAGCAUUUUGAUGCUUUUGAAGCGCGCGUAGUUUCAUUCUAAAUUUCUAUUUCGUCUUCUUGUUUUAAGUCAAACAAUAGUGGCCGGUUUAGCUGGUUGAUGAUAAGCUGAUGAUGAUAUCAUCGCUCUAUGUUCUAUGCCUCAACCAAAUACAACAGAAAUACUAUGUACAAAACUAUUUUGAGCUACAUGCUCAUUUGUACCAAAUUCUAUCCAAUAUGGCUCAACGAAACGGCCAAUUAGGUGUGGAAAAUACAACACAGUGGAUCAUUAUUUAUACUGACUCUCGACUGAACCUUUCGCUGACUGAAUUAGCAGGGUUCCUCGCUUGCCAACACACACGAUUGACGUUCUAUAGCACUUUUUACGCAAUCAAGCAUUAUGUCAUUAUUAUUUCAUGCUUUUGAAAUUAGUUACAGUUCACCUUUGCAAAAUACACACACACACACACACACACACACACACAUUUCUGCUACAAUCGCACUAUCACAUAAUAUCAAAAAUAGGUAAACAGUCACCACUGUUUGGGUAGCGUGCCAAAACAGCUCGUCUAAACAACGCUGACCUUCCUUCUAUCUUAUCUCUGGUACUGAUGCGGGGAUUUACCGCUUGCAGUGCGUGUUCGCCCUGGUUCGCCUCACCGAUUGCCAGUAUACAAUUACAGUUCCACGAUCACUGACGCCCGAACGGGACGCCACACUUUCGCUGCUGAUCCUCAUUAAAAUCAAUCGUUUGGCAACCCACCGGGGGUUGCAUCCCCAACGAUGACAGCUAGUGGUUUGUGUCGCAAGAAGAAGGAUGCUUUGCUAGUGGUUUGCGUUCUAUGGCUAAGUUGUAUCACUUCCAAAGCAUUAGCGAUGGAAGCGGGCGAAGGGUGCGAGUGGCAGUACGCGUGCUGCGAGUGGGUUCAAGUGAACGGAUCGUGCAAAAGCCUCUGCCCGAAGCCAACCAUUGUGUGUCCGGCGAAAGAAACAAGCACCAGCGAUCCGGUCAGGAUACACUCGCCGAAAGUGAUCGUGACCGCACCCUGCAAUGAAGGCUACCGGCGUGAUCAUACCCACCGGUGUCGGAAAAUUUUUGAAGAACUUGUCUAUUUCUGAGAUCUUCUGAAGUUUGUGUUCUGAAGGUUUAAAUCUCUCCAAUGUUUGAAGAAAUAGAACGGCUGGAAGUGCCAGUACCAAAACUAUCCUUCCGUUGAAGAAUAACGGAGCUAGUGGCAACCAAACAACCCCAUUUCCGAGGCGUUGAACAUGCUAUUUGCAAUAAAAUCCCAACGAAUCACAUUAUCCAACAAAUAAGCAUCGAAUCGAAGUACAUCUGACACCACUAAACCUAUCGGACGGAAAUCGGCAAAGUGUGUCCUGCGCAUCGCGGCCUCACUCACCCCAGCAAGCAAAACCCAUCACAACAACGUGCAGCCUUCGGUAAUCGUACAUUGACCGGGAACGGUCCACUGGAACGGACAAAACAGUGCGCGGGGAUGGCGAAUGAUGCUGAUUUUAGUGGAAUAUUUAGUUACAUCAUAAUAGCUAAUACGCCCUGUAAUCUUAUUGGUUUUGGCAGGUUAAAGUUUCCUAUGUCAACUGAGGGUUUUUGUUGUUGCUGUUGCUAUUGUUGGCUACUGCUGGCUUGCUGGUUGACUCACCCCACUCGCACCAGGAACUGAUUUGUAUUUAAUCCGUAGCCUUAAUUAGAUUUCACUCCUGCCCCUUCUGUCACGCCCCACUUCAACUGCAGCAAGGACGUGUGGGCACGUGCGGUCGACGGUUGCUUUAUUCCUUCUGCCUCGUUCGAUAGGCAAUCGAUACCAAAUCCGUAUCCACCGCGGACAUAUCUCUUCCUCUCUCUCUCUCUGCCUUCGCUUUGCUCUGUGUUUGAUGCUCCUCUUUCACUCGCUGGAUCCAACGACCGCUCCCUCAAUACCCACGGACCCGGCCACGGCAAUAAGAUUCGCUACGACGCUUCGCUGCAAAUGGUCCGGAAUUUCCUUCCUUGUUUUGCUUCCUUCGUCAAUUUCGUUUGACCGCUGCCGAGGGAUCGCCAGGCUACCGAGUGGAAAGCAGGGCUGUAGCGCAGUGGCACUAAAAUAAAAUAAAAUAAACACAAACCACUGGUUCAGUAAAAAAAACACAACAGGGACGAGGGAUGGAACGGGCUGGUUCGGUAUUUCCUUCCCCUCCCUCGCACCUACACCAACCCAGCACGCAGACACAGUACAAAUAGAAAAAUAAUAAUGUCCGAUUCCGGAUAUUUAUCACGUGCCAUUGCCGGUGAUGUGUAAAUUCCCGUGUAUUCCGGGAUUCCUUCCGCUCUGCCCGGGACGGACGAUUUUUCAUCUUCAGCUAGCAAAACAUGCCCACGCCACCACCAACCCUCUUGCUCAGUAGAACUGUCAGAAAGCAAAUAAAUUUUACAAUUCCGUUCCAUAUCCGAUCGUUCGCACACACAACACACACACACACACUCGGUAGCUUUCUAUUUGGUGCCCGAACGGGUGCAAACGCUUCACGUUGCCCGUUUGCCUUUCGGUGGAAUUGUUUUAGUUCAGUGAUUUUCCUUUCCCCUCCCUCCCCCUCCCCAGCGAAAUCUCUUGAGACGGCAGGAAGGCACGGCACGGAGUGAUUCUUCAUCUUUUGCCCCAAGGCCACUACCACCGCUAGCGGAACCGGAACCGGGCUAAAGUGGCUAUUUUUCUUGACUCGUUCCGCUCCCGGUCAAUGGCCAGACGAUCACGCUGCCUGCCGAUGCCGAUGAUGGCGACGGUGAGGAUGAUGAUGAUGAUGAUGAUGAUGACGAUGGAAUUUAUCGAAAUUGCUUGCAGGAAACAAGAUCGACACCCCCUUCACUUAACCCGAUGCCCAAACAAAAAAAUCCGUCCACCUGUUCCGAGUAUCCGAGCUUGGCAAACCUGCUGAUACCGUUCUGCGGAUUUUCACCCGAGAAAAUUCUGUCAGAUUUCCUCCCAAAACACACACACACACACACUUCGUGCGAGAAUCCCAGUAAAGGGAUUGAUAUCCUUUUGAUUUGUCGGUAUCGUUUUGUUCCGGCUUGCCGACGCAUUCCCAGGCUCCCGCGCUGUUGUGCAAUCAAACAACGGAGAAGGGCACAAAAUUGAAUUCACUAACCUCCCUUACCAUUUCUCCCACCAAGCGUUGGGUCGACCAAGUCCGGUACAGACGAGAACAAAUAAAGCAAAAAGCAUCCCGCUUGGUCCCGAUAUGUUAUGACGGGAAGUGUAAACCCUUCAAACGGCAGCAAGCCUGUUCGAUUUGACACGAUAACGCAUGAACCUCCCGGGACCGUGGCAGAGGGGUUUGAGGUCAGAAAAAUGGGUACGGGAAAAAAGGCACCGGGGAAAAUUGGGAACAUCACAAUAAAGGAUGCGGAUAUAGGAGCGUGUA